rnacentral:rRNA from 1 species
GCCUGACCUCGGAUCAGACGUGAUUACCCGCUGAAUUUAAGCAUAUUAUUAAGCGGAGGAAAAGAAACUAACAAGGAUUCCCCUAGUAACGGCGAGUGAACGGGGAAGAGCCCAACACCGAAUCCCUUGGCGCAAGUCAACGGGAAAUGUGGUGUUAAGGUAGCCCUUCGUGUCAGUCUAGGCGUCUCAAGUCCACCUGAUUGUGGCUCAAGCCCAGAGAGGGUGUAAGGCCCGUAGAGACGCUCCGACUGAUUCCUGGGGUUUACCUACGAGUCGGCUUGUUUGGGAAUGCAGGCCAAAGCGGGUGGUAAACUCCAUCCAAGGCUAAAUACUGGCACGAGUCCGAUAGCGGACAAGUACCGUGAGGGAAAGUUGAAAAACUUUGAAGAGAGAGUUCAAUAGUACGUGAAACCGCUUAGAGGCAAACGGAUGGUGCUCAUACUGGCCUGAGGAAUUCAACUGUGACGGUGGCUGGACGAGCUGGCGUUCCGAUCUCUCUUUUGGGACGGGCGCGUCGGUUUGGCUAUCAGCUCCGACAUGGUGCACUUUCCUUGGUGCCUCCGCCACGACCGACGACACUGGCUACCCGCGGCUGGGGUAAGGUGACAAACUGCUUCGGCAAUUUGUGUUAUAGACCCCGGCGUCGGACAUGGUUUGGCCAGGACGUCGAGCUUGCGGCGCCCGCUCCUUGUGGGCUCGCAUGUUGGCUAGCUUGGCUGCGCCGAUGCUUGCACUGGACAACCAGUACAGGUGACGGUUGUGGUCUUGUCUCUAGUUGGCCUCUGCGAGUUUGGCGCCUAUAGUCUGUGGUGUACUUGUGGGUAGACUAUCCGACCCGUCUUGAAACACGGACCAAGGAGUCUAACAUGUGCGCGAGUCAUGGGGAUUCUACGAAAACCCAAAGGCGCAGUGAAAGUAAAGGCCUGCUUCUCGUAGGCUGAGGUGGGAUCUCGUGCAUCGCGAUUGGCGAGCGCACCACCGGCCCGUCCUAUCUGUCUCUGUCAGUGGGGCGGCGCAAGAGCGUACACGUUGGGACCCGAAAGAUGGUGAACUAUGCUUGCGCAGCUCGAAGUCAGUGGAAACACUGAUGGAGGAGCGCAGCGUUUCUGACGUGCAAAUCGAUCGUCAAACGUGAGUAUAGGGGCGAAAGACUAAUCGAACCAUCUAGUAGCUGGUUCCCUCCGAAGUUUCCCUCAGGAUAGCUGGCACUCGGGAAACAGUUUAUCCGGUAAAGCGAAUGAUUAGAGGCAUUGGGGUCGAAACGACCUCGACCUAUUCUCAAACUUUAAAUGGGUAAGAUGCUCGUCUCGCUUAAUUGGAGGCGGGCUUCACCUCUCUAUAACGUGAAUGUGAGUGCCCAGUGGGCCAUUUUUGGUAAGCAGAACUGGCGCUGUGGGAUGAACCAAACGCGCGGUUAAGGCGCCCAAUGCGGACGCUCAUGAGACACCACAAAAGGUGUUGGUCGAUACUGACAGCAGGACGGUGGCCAUGGAAGUCGGAACCCCGCUAAGGAGUGUGUAACAACUCACCUGCCGAAUCAACCAGCCCUGAAAAUGGAUGGCGCUGGAGCGUCGGGCCUAUACCGUGCCGUUGGGGCGAAGCAGACAAAUAAUCUGUGUGGAUGUCCCAACGAGUAGGAGGGUCGCCGUGGUGAGCGCAGAAGGUGCGGCCGUGAGGCCGGCUGGAGCCGCACCACGGGCGCAGAUCUUGGUGGUAGUAGCAAUUACUCAAGUGAGAACCUUGAGGACUGAAGUGGAGAAGGGUUCCAUGUGAACAGCAGUUGAACAUGGGUCAGGCGGUCCUAAGCGAUCGGGUAACUCCGUACCUAGACGAGGGUGACAACUAUCACUGAUAACUGUGAAGUGUUAUAGCCCUCCGGAGCGAAAGGGAAUCGUGUUAAUAUUCACGACCCUUACCGUGGAGAUCGCCCCUUUCGGGGGCAAGUGCGGUAACGCAAACGAACACAGAGACGUCGGCUGGAGCCCCGGGAAGAGUUCUCUUUUCUUUGUAAGGAGCGUACCCCCUGGAAUCGGCUUGUCCGGAGAUAGGGGCGUGGCUUCCGUAAAGCAGCGCGGGUCUUGCGCUGUCCGGUGCACUCUAGUCGGCCCUUGAAAAUCUGUGGGAGACAGUGUGAUUUUCACGGUAGGCCGUACCCAUAUCCGCAGCAGGUCUCCAAGGUGAACAGCCUCUAGUCCUAGAACAAUGUAGGUAAGGGAAGUCGGCAAAAUGGAUCCGUAACUUCGGAAAAGGAUUGGCUCUGAGGGCUGGGUCGGAUGGGCUGGCGUAAGAAGCUGUUCCGGUUUUGGGUGAGGACUGGGCGAGGCUUUCGGGCUUUACUCGGACCAUGCCGAGACCAGGCAGUAGACGACGUCAGCUGUGCUUGUCGUGUUUCGGCGCGGCAGCUUCGUCCGGCAACAAACAGCCAAACUCAGAACUGGCACGGACUAGGGGAAUCCGACUGUCUAAUUAAAAACAAAGCAUUGCGAUGGCUGUUGCUCGUGUUGACGCAAUGUGAUUUCUGCCCAGUGCUCUGAUGUCAAAGUGAAAGAAAUUCAAUCAAGACGCGGGUAAACGU